rnacentral:rRNA from 1 species
AUCAGCAGCCAUACCACCAGCAGUUCAGACACAGUAAUUCGUCUUUAGCUAAGCACGUUUGGGUCUGGCUAGUACUUGGUUAGGAUACCAGCUAGGAAAGCUGGGUUGCUGCUAGAC